rnacentral:rRNA from 1 species
UUUCGAAUCAUCCACAAUGGGCGAAAGCCUGAUGGUGCGACGCCGCGUGAGGGAUGAAGGCCUUCGGGUUGUAAACCUCUGUCGUUAAGGAGCAAAGGCUAGGUUCAUAGCCUAGUUUGAGUUAACUUAAAAGGAAGCAGUGGCUAACUCCGUGCCAGCAGCCGCGGUAAUACGGAGACUGCGAGCGUUACUCGGAUUCACUGGGCGUAAAGGGUGCGCAGGCGGUUAAUUGUGUCAGGUGUGAAAUCCCGGAGCUCAACUCCGGAACUGCGCCUGAAACUGAUUGACUAGAGGCUCGGAAAGGUAAGCGGAAUUCCAGGUGUAGCGGUGAAAUGCGUAGAUAUCUGGAGGAACACCAAAGGCGAAGGCAGCUUACUAGACGAGAUCUGACGCUCAGGCACGAAAGCGUGGGAGCAAACAGGAUUAGAUACCCCUGUAGUCCCUGAGCGGGCUGGCAAGGCGCAU